AAUAGUAGGUGAAGAUACAGAACUAGAAGAUAGAUGUGAAAAAUAAAACAAAGAUUCAUCAAAGGUGACAUCAACAGAGAUAAAAUGACGAUUGAGGGAAGGGGAAAAACACUUAUAGCCCUUUUGUGACCGUGGAAAUCCUAAGACACAUUUGUGAGAUCUAGGAGAUAACUUAUCAAGACCAAGACUAAAAUCAUGAACAAAACAUGUAGACCC
rnacentral:lncRNA from 1 species